rnacentral:tRNA from 1 species
AGCUGAAUGGCGCAGCGGAAGCGCGCCGGGCUCAUAACCCGGAGGACACUGGAUCGAAACCAGUUUCAGCUA